UCAGUCUAUGCCCAGUUCGGAUCACGUGCGUGGUGCUAGCCGUCCACACCCACUCGGCAUUUUUCCCUCCUGGCACGAUGUAACUUGGUGAUGAGGGACGCAACACCAGGACGAUCUCAGAACACUAGUGGUGCCGGUGUCGCGGUGGUGGAGUGGCUUGCUACGUAUCCAAAUUUGCCACCAUGCGGGGUUCGAAUCCACAUCAGGGGUACAGCAGCCAGCCAGCCAGCCAGCCAGCCAGCCAACGACGCAGCCACCGCCCCGCCUGUCCAGUCAACCCACUCCAGCAAGUACUGUUUUCAAAAGCCACUUAGAGCACUGGUCGUGUUCUCAUGGGUGUUCUUCCUGCUGAGGACACAGAAUCCUUGUUAAACUCUCAUUGCAGUCACGGUCUCGGGACCUCGAGAUUGCAUCACCGUAGUCUGGUAACACACCUGUCAACACUGUGUCCGAAAACCGUGCUCGCGUUAUGCUAAUGGAACCCUAAUCACUAUUGUUUAUAUAUACAGGCAGCAAUGAUGAACACAGCUAAGUAUCGUCCAUUUUAAAGUUUCAGAUAAUAAGAUAAAUGCUGGUUGUACGUUUCCUUAAUAGUGAUGAGUUUAUUCCGAAGACGUAUACUCAUGCACGGUGUUGGACAGGCUGUGGAGAUCAUCUAGGCCUGAUCGGCGAAGUGUUGGAACUUUUCUUUCCUUGAGUGUUCUGCCAGGGGUUCGAUCCUCAGUGAAAGCUUCUCCUGGGUAAUUUUGUCCCGUCUUCAAAUCAGUGUCCUCAGUGUUCCGAAUCCUGGCCACUGUCCGAGGUUAGGAAGGGCAUCCACUCAGGGUUACGGUUCUCAAGUGCAAAAACCACUGUCCUUCCGUAGUAAGAGGCGCAUUUCUGACCCUAAUAGAUAAGAAAAUCACACAAAAAAAAAUAAAAGCAUAAAAUAUAUACAUAGCCAGUGAAUGAGUGACUAGACAUGCUUCCGUACACACACACGCACGCACCACACCACACCCACGCACGCACUCACGCACGCAAUUUAUUAUAAUCCUCCAUUGAUGUCCAGAAUAAAAUCAAACUGAUGUUCUGUUAAUGUUGAUAUGGCGAAGCAAGGCAUUACAUCAAAGCAAGAUGAAUU